GCCCCCAUAGCUCAGUUGGUAGAGCAGGACACUCUUAAUGUCAAGGUCACAGGUUCGACCCCUGUUGGGGGUA
rnacentral:tRNA from 1 species